GAUGAACGCUGGCGGCGUGCCUAAUACAUGCAAGUCGAGCGAACAGACGAGGAGCUUGCUCCUCUGACGUUAGCGGCGGACGGGUGAGUAACACGUGGAUAACCUACCUAUAAGACUGGGAUAACUUCGGGAAACCGGAGCUAAUACCGGAUAAUAUAUUGAACCGCAUGGUUCAAUAGUGAAAGACGGUUUUGCUGUCACUUAUAGAUGGAUCCGCGCCGCAUUAGCUAGUUGGUAAGGUAACGGCUUACCAAGGCAACGAUGCGUAGCCGACCUGAGAGGGUGAUCGGCCACACUGGAACCGAGACACGGUCCAGACUCCUACGGGAGGCAGCAGUAGGGAAUCUUCCGCAAUGGGCGAAAGCCUGACGGAGCAACGCCGCGUGAGUGAUGAAGGUCUUCGGGUCGUAAAACUCUGUUAUUAGGGAAGAACAAAUGUGUAAGUAACUAUGCACGUCUUGACGGUACCUAAUCAGAAAGCCACGGCUAACUACGUG
rnacentral:rRNA from 1 species